UACGUAGGGGGCGAGCGUUGUCCGGAAUUACUGGGCGUAAAGGGCGCGUAGGCGGCCAUCUAAGUCAGACGUGAAAUCCCCCGGCUUAACCUGGGAACUGCGUCUGAUACUGGACGGCUCGAGUUUGGGAGAGGGAUGUGGAAUUCCAGGUGUAGCGGUGAAAUGCGUAGAUAUCUGGAGGAACACCGGUGGCGAAGGCGGCAUCCUGGACCAACACUGACGCUGAGGCGCGAAAGCUAGGGGAGCAAACGGG
rnacentral:rRNA from 1 species